rnacentral:rRNA from 1 species
CCUACGGGAGGCACCAGUGGGGAAUAUUGGACAAUGUGGGCAACCCUGAUCCAGCAAUACCGCGUGUGUGAAGAAGGCCUGAGGGUUGUAAAGCACUUUCAGUAGGGAGGAGGUUCGUUAGGUUAAGAGCUAGAUGAAUGGACGUUACCUACAGAAGAAGCACCGGCUAACUCCGUGCCAGCAGCCGCGGUAAUACGGAGGGUGCAAGCGUUAAUCGGAAUUACUGGGCGUAAAGCGUGCGUAGGUGGUUAGAUAAGUUAUCUGUGAAAUCCCCGGGCUCGACCUGGGCAGGUCAGAUAAUACUGUUUGACUCGAGUAUGGGAGAGGGUAGUGGAAUUUCCGGUGUAGCGGUGAAAUGCGUAGAGAUCGGAAGGAACACCAGUGGCGAAGGCGGCUACCUGGCCUAAUACUGACACUGAGGCACGAAAGCGUGGGGAGCAAACAGGAUUAGAUACCCCGGUAGUC